GGGUGUGAUGAGUGGCGAACGGGUGAGUAACACGUGAGUAACCUGCCCCUGACUUCGGGAUAAGCCCGGGAAACUGGGUCUAAUACCGGAUACGACUGCCGGACGCAUGUCUGGUGGUGGAAAGUUUUUUCGGUUGGGGAUGGGCUCGCGGCCUAUCAGUUUGUUGGUGAGGUAAUGGCUCACCAAGACGACGACGGGUAGCCGGCCUGAGAGGGCGACCGGCCACACUGGGACUGAGACACGGCCCAGACUCCUACGGGAGGCAGCAGUGGGGAAUAUUGCACAAUGGGGGAAACCCUGAUGCAGCGACGCAGCGUGCGGGAUGACGGCCUUCGGGUUGUAAACCGCUUUCAGCAGGGAAGAAGCGCAAGUGACGGUACCUGCAGAAGAAGUACCGGCUAACUACGUGCCAGCAGCCGCGGUAAUACGUAGGGUACGAGCGUUGUCCGGAAUUAUUGGGCGUAAAGAGCUCGUAGGUGGUUGGUCACGUCUGCUGUGGAAACGCAACGCUUAACGUUGCGCGUGCAGUGGGUACGGGCUGACUAGAGUGCAGUAGGGGAGUCUGGAAUUCCUGGUGUAGCGGUGAAAUGCGCAGAUAUCAGGAGGAACACCGGUGGCGAAGGCGGGACUCUGGGCUGUAACUGACACUGAGGAGCGAAAGCAUGGGGAGCGAACAGGAUUAGAUACCCUGGUAGUCCAUGCCGUAAACGUUGGGCACUAGGUGUGGGGGGCAUUCCACGUUCUCCGCGCCGUAGCUAACGCAUUAAGUGCCCCGCCUGGGGAGUACGGUCGCAAGGCUAAAACUCAAAGGAAUUGACGGGGGCCCGCACAAGCGGCGGAGCAUGCGGAUUAAUUCGAUGCAACGCGAAGAACCUUACCAAGGCUUGACAUACACCGGACCGUCCUGGAAACAGGUCCUCUUCUUUGAAGCUGGUGUACAGGUGGUGCAUGGUUGUCGUCAGCUCGUGUCGUGAGAUGUUGGGUUAAGUCCCGCAACGAGCGCAACCCUCGUUCUAUGUUGCCAGCACGUGAUGGUGGGAACUCAUAGGAGACUGCCGGGGUCAACUCGGAGGAAGGUGGGGAUGACGUCAAAUCAUCAUGCCCUUUAUGUCUUGGGCUUCACGCAUGCUACAAUGGCUGGUACAGAGAGAGGCGAACCCGUGAGGGCAAGCGAAUCCCUUAAAGCCAGUCUCAGUUCGGAUCGUAGUCUGCAAUUCGACUACGUGAAGUCGGAGUCGCUAGUAAUCGCAGAUCAGCAACGCUGCGGUGAAUACGUUCCCGGGCCUUGUACACACCGCCCGUCAAGUCACGAAAGUCGGUAAC
rnacentral:rRNA from 1 species